GGGCCUGUAGCUCAAAGGAUAGAGCACAUUCCUCCUAAGAAUGGGGUUGGAGGUUCGAGUCCUCCCAGGCUCA
rnacentral:tRNA from 1 species